rnacentral:rRNA from 4 species
GGUUGACCUCGGAUCAGGUAGGAAUACCCGCUGAACUUAAGCAUAUCAAUAAGCGGAGGAAAAGAAACCAACAGGGAUUGCCCUAGUAACGGCGAGUGAAGCGGCAACAGCUCAAAUUUGAAAUCUGGCCUUCGGGUCCGAGUUGUAAUUUGUAGAGGAUGCUUUUGGUGAGGUACCUUCCGAGUUCCCUGGAACGGGACGCCAUAGAGGGUGAGAGCCCCGUCUGGUUGGAUACCGAUCCUCUGUAAAGCUCCUUCGACGAGUCGAGUAGUUUGGGAAUGCUGCUCUAAAUGGGAGGUAUAUGUCUUCUAAAGCUAAAUAUUGGCCAGAGACCGAUAGCGCACAAGUAGAGUGAUCGAAA